GUACGAAGGGGGCUAGCGUUGCUCGGAAUCACUGGGCGUAAAGGGUGCGUAGGCGGGUCUUUUAAGUCAGGGGUGAAAUCUCGGAGCUUAACUCCGAAACUGCAUUCGAUACUGGCGUGCUUGAGGACUGGAGAGGAGACUGGAAUUCAUGGUGUAGCAGUGAAAUGCGUAGAGAUCAUGAGGAAGACCAGUGGCGAAGGCGGGUCUCUGGACAGUUCCUGACACUGAGACACGAAGGCCAGGGGAGCAAACGGG
rnacentral:rRNA from 1 species